CUUCUUAAGCUCAGAAUAAGAGCUUAUCAUUUUUUUCAAGAUAGUUGCUUUCCACUUCUUUCUUUUUUCUUUUUUUUUUUUUUCCUUUUCUUUUGGCUUCUUAAAAUCAAACCCAACUUGUCACCCAGGUGCUGGGCCCAGACAGAACCAGUUUUAGGAGGAAAGAAAAGGCCACAGAGUUCCGCAAAGCUAAUUGCUUUCAGGUUCCUCCUUAGCUCUGGGCUUCCUGGUGGCUCAGAUGGUAAAGAAUCUGCCAGCAAUGCAGGAGACCUAGGUUUGACCCCUGGGUUGGGAAGAUCCUCUGGAGGUGGAACUGACAACCUGCUCCAGUAUUCUUGCCCAAGAAAUCCCAUGGACAGAGGAGCCUGGUGGGCUAUAGUCCGUGGGCUUGCAAAGAGUUGGACACCACUGAAUGACUAAACACUUUCACUUCCUUGUGUCGAGCCUCUUAUCUCUGUCUUUCUGUGCCCCUGGGGUUCUCAGACUCCAGUGCUAACAGUCUCCUCUGCCCAGACUUGCAGGCUUGUUUGACGUGCUCAAGAUCUGCUGUUUGGGUCUGUCCGUUAUUUUGUUCUUGCCCCAUCUACCAGGUCCUGGGCGACCUUGCCUUGCUCGCCGCAUCCUGGAGCCAAACAUCCUGACAAAAUGAUACAUCUCCAUCUUGGCUCUGCCCCUGCAAAGACCUAGCCCCCCUGUGACCCCUGACAUGACCACAGCCACAAAUCUGGUAAGGGGCAGAGUUGAAAGGUCAUACCAAAUGCCUUUGAUGGCUCCCCACUGCUCACAGGAUGGAGGCCAGAAUCCUUAAUAAAGCCCUCCACAAGCUGAUCCCUGUUCCCUCUCAUUUCUCACCCUGUGCCCUACGAACUCCUCUCUCUUUCUCAAAAGUACCACGUUCUCUCUUGCU
rnacentral:lncRNA from 1 species